rnacentral:sRNA from 1 species
CUAGAGGAAGAGGUAGCUCCACAGGAGGUACAGCUGCUUACACAUCUCUCCUCAGAGCUGUCCCUUGACUUGGGGGUGAAUUUCAGGCCAACAGGGCUUCCUGGGAUACAAGAGCGUUCUCCAUGGAUCUGCCUUACUACCACGGACGUCUGACCAAGCAAGACUGUGAGACCUUGCUGCUCAAGGAAGGGGUGGAUGGUAACUUUCUUUUAAGAGACAGCGAGUCGAUACCAGGAGUCCUGUGCCUCUGUGUCUCGUUUAAAAAUAUUGUCUACACAUACCGAAUCUUCAGAGAGAAACACGGGUAUUACAGGAUACAGGUAAGAACAAAAAGGACGACAACAACAACAACACAAAAGUUGGGGGAGAAGAACCUGGGAACAUGUCUUUUACCUGAGCCAUGACUGUGCGAAAGCAUUCUAAAAAGGAAAGCACAAUGCAGAGAUGAGAGUCAGAUCGAGUUAACCUGGUUUUUCCCUGAAGAGAAAUAGGAAGGUUCUAGGCUUGGGUUCUACUUUUUUUUGUUGUCGUUUUGUUUUUUUUAGACAGAGUCUAGCUCUGUCGUCCAGGCUGGAGUGCGGUG